UACGGGGGGAGCAAGCGUUGUUCGGAUUUACUGGGCGUAAAGGGCGCGUAGGCGGUCGUGACAAGUCACUUGUGAAAUCUCCGGGCUUAACUCGGAACGGUCAAGUGAUACUGUCGGACUAGAGUACAGGAAGGGCAACUGGAAUUCUCGGUGUAGCGGUGAAAUGCGUAGAUAUCGAGAGGAACACCUGCGGCGAAGGCGGGUUGCUGGGCUGAUACUGACGCUGAGGCGCGAAAGCCAGGGGAGCGAACGGG
rnacentral:rRNA from 1 species